CCUACGGGAGGCAGCAGUGGGGAAUAUUGCACAAUGGGGGGAACCCUGAUGCAGCGACGCCGCGUGAGUGAAGAAGUAUUUCGGUAUGUAAAGCUCUAUCAGCAGGGAAGAAAAUGACGGUACCUGACUAAGAAGCCCCGGCUAACUACGUGCCAGCAGCCGCGGUAAUACGUAGGGGGCAAGCGUUAUCCGGAUUUACUGGGUGUAAAGGGAGCGUAGACGGUUAUGCAAGUCUGAAGUGAAAGCCCAAGGCUCAACCAUGGGACUGCUUUGGAAACUGUGCGGCUGGAGUGCAGGAGGGGUAAGCGGAAUUCCUAGUGUAGCGGUGGAAUGCGUAGAUAUUAGGAGGAACACCAGUGGCGAAGGCGGAUUGCUAGACUGUAACUGACACUGAGGCACGAAAGCGUGGGGAGCAAACAGGAUUAGAUACCCCAGUAGUC
rnacentral:rRNA from 1 species